rnacentral:rRNA from 1 species
GUGUCAGCCGCCGCGGUAAUACGAAGGUGGCAAGCGUUACUCGGAAUUACUAGGCGUAAAGGGCAGGUAGGUGGUGUGGUAAGUCUGUUGUGGAAGCUCCCGGCUUAACCGGGAGAGGUCAACGGAAACUACCACGCUUGAGUGUAGGAGAGGGUACUGGAAUUCCCGGUGUAGCGGUGAAAUGCGCAGAGAUCGGGAGGAACACCAAUGGCGAAAGCAGGUACCUGGACUAUUACUGACACUAAGCUGCGAAAGCUAGGGGAGCAAACAGGAUUAGAUACCCCGGUAGUCC